GUGCUCGCUUUGGCAGCAUAUAUACUAAAAUUGGAACAAUAUAGAGAAGAUUAGCAUGGCCUGUGCUCAUGGAUGAUACACAAAUUCAUGAAGCAUUCCAUAUUUAA